CAGUCGCCGCGGGAAUACAGAGGGUGCGAGCGUUAAUCGGAUUUACUGGGCGUAAAGCGUGCGUAGGCGGCUUCUUAAGUCGGAUGUGAAAUCCCUGAGCUUAACUUAGGAAUUGCAUUCGAUACUGGGAAGCUAGAGUAUGGGAGAGGAUGGUAGAAUUCCAGGUGUAGCGGUGAAAUGCGUAGAGAUCUGGAGGAAUACCGAUGGCGAAGGCAGCCAUCUGGCCUAACACUGACGCUGAGGUACGAAAGCAUGGGGAGCAAACAGGAUUAGAUACCCCUGUAGUCCCUGUCUCUUAUAC
rnacentral:rRNA from 1 species